UACGUAGGGUGCGAGCGUUGCCCGGAUUUAUUGGGCGUAAAGGGCGCGCAGGCGGCUACGCACGUCCGUUGUGAAAUCGCUCGGCUCAACUGGGCGGGGGUCAGCGGAUACGGCGUAGCUGGAGCAAGCUAGGGGGCAAUGGAAUUCCCGGUGUAGUGGUGGAAUGCGUAGAUAUCGGGAGGAACACCAGUGGCGAAGGCGGUUGCCUGGAGCUUUGCUGACACUGAGGCGCGACAGCGUGGGGAGCAAACAGGG
rnacentral:rRNA from 1 species